ensembl:snoRNA small nucleolar RNA SNORA1
UGCCUUGUUGGGUAUACAAAAUGUAGGCGCACUUCAUUGUGCCUGAAGUAAGCAACAAGGCUACAGAAAACACAGGUUAUGCUUCCAUCCUUGUAAGACAAAUUGCAUUGGUGACAAUGAGACCUGUAAUAAGC